GAUGAACGCUAGCGGCAGGCUUAAUACAUGCAAGUCGAGGGGCAGCAGUUUUGUAGCAAUACAGAAGCUGGCGACCGGCAAACGGGUGCGGAACACGUACGCAACCUUCCUCUAACUGGAAGAUAGCCCACCGAAAGGUGGAUUAAUAUUCCAUAGUAUAUUGAAAAGGCAUCUUUUUGAUAUUAAAGCUCCGGCGGUUAGAGAUGGGCGUGCGUCUGAUUAGGUAGUUGGCGGGGUAACGGCCCACCAAGCCUACGAUCAGUAGCUGAUGUGAGGGCAUGAUCAGCCACCCGGGCACUGGGACCCGGGCCCGACUCCUACGGGAGGCAGCAGUAAGGAAUAUUGGUCAAUGGACGCAAGUCUGAACCAGCCACGCCGCGUGGAGGAUGAAGGCCCUCUGGGUUGUAAACUUCUUUUCUUUGGGACGAAACCCCUGUUUCUACGGGGACUGACGGUACCAGAGGAAUAAGCACCGGCUAACUCCGUGCCAGCCGCCGCCGUAAAAC
rnacentral:rRNA from 1 species